GGCGAGAUGGCCGAGCGGUCUAAGGCGCCAGCUUAAGGUUCUACCUGAGUUCGCUGGUCCGAAAGGGCGUGGGUUCAAAUCCCACUCUCGUCA
rnacentral:tRNA from 1 species